UAAGCUUCGCCCCCGAUCCCGACCCCCACCUCUUUAGUCUCUUCGAUUCUGGUGCGACACUGGUGCGAUUGUGCGACACUGGUGCGAUUUUGCGACACUGGUGAGCUGGGGAGACGAAAAGGAAAGGGGGGACUCUGUUUUUUUGGGGUUUUCCAACGCAAGCUCCUGUGUUUCUUCACCGGGUUUUUCUACAGAUCAUGAUUGAGCCGCUCCUUUUCUUUUCAGCCCGCCUCGUUGGUGGAGCUCUUGAUCUUGCAUUUCUUGUUCACCAACAAUUAUUUUAGUCGAUACCUUCACUGCCUUCGAAGAUUAUCAUGUUCUUUUGUCUCUAAUGUGCACAGAUCUAAUUUUAUACUGUGAGGUUUGGAGAAGAAAAGUAAAGGGAUGAACUUGCCAUCUUUUUUUGGAAGGCUUUCUUGCUAAUGGGUGGUGAUUUUCUGAAGCAAGUUCUUGGCUACGUGCUAUUUUCUUCCCUACAAUUUUCUACGUUUCGUGGAGCUCUUGAUCUUCAUUUCCUGUUUUCGGUAGAUAUUUGGUUGAGAUCUGCACUGCCUUUGGAGAUUAUCAUGUUCAUAUGUUUCUAAUGUACUCAACUCCAUAUGUUCUUAAUGGAGAGUAUAUAUUGUUGAUUUAUGGUUGCAGAGGAUUCCUGGAGAGACGAAUUGCAAGAGCUAUGGGCAACUCCUGUGUGACUGGCUCCAGCAGCAGCUCAAACCACGGGCAGAAUCUGAAAACCAACGAGGCAAGAGCUAGUGACAACUCGUGUGUUACUGGUUCAUGCAGUUCAAACCAUGGGCAGAGUCUGAAAUCCAACGGGACAAGAGCUACUGACAAUUCGUGUGUUAUUGGUUCAUUUUUUUUCUUUUUCGAAAAGGGGGAUCUCCCCGGCCUCUGCAUCAGAAUGAUGCAUACGGCCAUCUUAUUAACGAAAUAAAAGGUUCCAACAAGGUUCCAAAGUCUCCGACUGAAAAGAAAUAAAAAGACAGCUCACACAGAGCUAAAGAGGCUGGGCACAGAGACUAGCCAAGAUAAGACGCCACAACCGGCUGGCUAAAGAUAGAUAGGUAAACUAAUUGCCUAUCCUAUUAGAUGACCGCCAUCCAAACCGGUUGAAGAUAUCCCGAGCUACCAUCUCC